CUCCAGUUCAGAGUGAACACGAGGAACUGCUUCCUGCCGGCUCACCGGGAUCACACCGUGAAACUGACAGAUGAAACCAAAGACUGGACCCUCAGUUGUCUCUGGCCCGGACUGUGAAAGGCCUCCUGCUCCAUAUGUUGACCUGUAAGGCUGUAAUGGUUAAAAUCAGUGCGAUAUGGGACAUCUCCUCUUGGAGGAUAGUUCUCCCAGAGGAUCCCGCUUCUUGGGUCUGGAGUGUAUUCCUCAAGCACUGGUGUUUCUGGCUCUGGGAUGUUUGGUGGGAUUUGGUAAGUAUGUUGAUUCUCAUCUUCCUCCACAAUAAGGUCAUCUGGAUUACACCUGCCUGGAGAUGGAAAAUUCAGCUUAUAUACUGUUAUAUUAGCUUAGAAGGAUCAUUUUGUGUUACCACAAUUUUUUAAAAAGAGAAAAUUCAGUAAAUACGAUUGAUUUUGGACUUAUUUUAAGCUUAUUUUAAAACCCCAAGGACCAGACUCAGCUAAAAAUCUUUUUUAAAGUUCUACUGAAGAAAAAAACACAUCACAUCCAUCUUCAAUGGCCUCAGGCAUUUUUUGGAGCCUUCAGAAUGAUGUCAAAUCUCUCAUGGUUUUCUUCCAGUCCAUCAUCUUUGAGGGUCUGUGACUUGAAACUCAAAGCUGUCCGCCGUCACGUCUACAUCUACAGGAAUGACAUAGCGCACAGCCUUCUGGUCUACAU